CCUACGGGUGGCUGCAGUGAGGAAUAUUGGUCAAUGGACGAGAGUCUGAACCAGCCAAGUAGCGUGAAGGAUGACUGCCCUAUGGGUUGUAAACUUCUUUUAUAUGGGAAUAAAAUGUUCCACGUGUGGGAUUUUGUAUGUACCAUAUGAAUAAGGAUCGGCUAACUCCGUGCCAGCAGCCGCGGUAAUACGGAGGAUCCGAGCGUUAUCCGGAUUUAUUGGGUUUAAAGGGAGCGUAAGUGGAUUGUUAAGUCAGUUGUGAAAGUUUGCGGCUCAACCGUAAAAUUGCAGUUGAAACUGGCAGUCUUGAGUACCGUAGAGGUGGGCGGAAUUCGUGGUGUAGCGGUGAAAUGCUUAGAUAUCACGAAGAACUCCGAUUGCGAAGGCAGUUCACUGGACUGCAACUGACACUGAGGCUCGAAAGUGUGGGUAUCAAACAGGAUUAGAUACCCGUGUAGUC
rnacentral:rRNA from 1 species